rnacentral:sRNA from 1 species
GCCAGGCAAGGUGGGGCAUGCCUGUAAUCCUAGCAGCUCAGGAGGUGGAGACAGGAGGAUUGCGAGUUCAAAGCCAGCCUUGGCAAAAGCCAGGCUCUAAGCAACUCAGUGAGACCCUGUUUCUA